rnacentral:rRNA from 1 species
AUUGAACGCUGGCGGCAGGCCUAACACAUGCAAGUCGAGCGGAUGAAGGGGGCUUGCUCCUGGAUUCAGCGGCGGACGGGUGAGUAAUGCCUAGGAAUCUGCCUGGUAGUGGGGGAUAACGUCCGGAAACGGGCGCUAAUACCGCAUACGUCCUGAGGGAGAAAGUGGGGGAUCUUCGGACCUCACGCUAUCAGAUGAGCCUAGGUCGGAUUAGCUAGUUGGUGGGGUAAAGGCCUACCAAGGCGACGAUCCGUAACUGGUCUGAGAGGAUGAUCAGUCACACUGGAACUGAGACACGGUCCAGACUCCUACGGGAGGCAGCAGUGGGGAAUAUUGGACAAUGGGCGAAAGCCUGAUCCAGCCAUGCCGCGUGUGUGAAGAAGGUCUUCGGAUUGUAAAGCACUUUAAGUUGGGAGGAAGGGCAGUAAGUUAAUACCCUGCUGUUUUGACGUUACCAACAGAAUAAGCACCGGCUAACUUCGUG